UACGAAGGGGGCUAGCGUUGCUCGGAAUGACUGGGCGUAAAGGGCGCGUAGGCGGAUGGCACAGUCAGAUGUGAAAUUCCCGGGCUUAACCUGGGGGCUGCAUUUGAUACGUGUGAUCUAGAGUGAGGAAGAGGGUCGUGGAAUUCCCAGUGUAGAGGUGAAAUUCGUAGAUAUUGGGAAGAACACCGGUGGCGAAGGCGGCUCUCUAGUACGGUACUGACGCUGAGACGCGAAAGCGUGGGGAGCAAACAGG
rnacentral:rRNA from 1 species